GACGAACGCUGGCGGCGUGCUUAACACAUGCAAGUCGAACGGAAAGGCCUAGCUUGCUGGGUACUCGAGUGGCGAACGGGUGAGUAACACGUGGGUGAUCUGCCCCUGACUUUGGGAUAAGCCUGGGAAACUGGGUCUAAUACCGGAUAUUCAUUUUUCCUCGCAUGGGGAUUUGUGGAAAGCUUUUGCGGUUGGGGAUGGGCCCGCGGCCUAUCAGCUUGUUGGUGGGGUAAUGGCCUACCAAGGCGACGACGGGUAGCCGACCUGAGAGGGUGAUCGGCCACACUGGUACUGAGACACGGCCCAGACUCCUACGGGAGGCAGCAGUGGGGAAUAUUGCACAAUGGGCGCAAGCCUGAUGCAGCGACGCCGCGUGAGGGAUGACGGCCUUCGGGUUGUAAACCUCUUUCAGCUCCGACGAAGCGCAAGUGACGGUAGGAGCAGAAGAAGCACCGGCCAACUACGUG
rnacentral:rRNA from 1 species